rnacentral:rRNA from 1 species
AGCAGCCGCGGUAAUUCCAGCUCCAAUAGCGUAUAUUAAAGUUGUUGCAGUUAAAAAGCCCGUAGUUGAACUUCGGGUCCGGCUGAGUGGUCUUGCCAAUGGUAAGUACUGCUCUGGUCGGACCUUUCUUUCUGGGGAACCAACGUGCUCUUAAUUGAGUGCGCUGGGGAUCCAGGACUUUUACUUUGAAAAAAUUAGAGUGUUUAAAGCAGGCCUACGCUUGAAUACGUUAGCAUGGAAUAAUAGAAUAGGACUUUGGUUCUAUUUUGUUGGUUUCUAGGACCGAGGUAAUGAUUAAUAGGGAUAGUUGGGGGCAUUAGUAUUCAAUUGUCAGAGGUGAAAUUCUUGGAUUUAUUGAAGACUAACUUCUGCGAAAGCAUUUGCCAAGGAUGUUUUCAUUAAUCAAGAACGAAAGUUAGGGGAUCGAAGACGAUCAGAUACCGUCGUAGUCUUAACCAUAAACUAUGCCGACUAGGGAUCGGACGAUGUUAAUUUUUUAAUGACUCG